UACGGAGGGUCCAAGCGUUAUCCGGAAUCAUUGGGUUUAAAGGGUCCGUAGGCGGUUUUGUAAGUCAGUGGUGAAAGCCCAUCGCUCAACGGUGGAACGGCCAUUGAUACUGCAAGACUUGAAUUAUUGGGAAGUAACUAGAAUAUGUAGUGUAGCGGUGAAAUGCUUAGAGAUUACACGGAAUACCAAUUGCGAAGGCAGGUUACUACCAAUAUAUUGACGCUGAUGGACGAAAGCGUGGGGAGCGAAGAGG
rnacentral:rRNA from 1 species